AGUGAACGCUGGCGGUAGGCCUAACACAUGCAAGUCGAACGGCAGCACAGUAAGAGCUUGCUCUUACGGGUGGCGAGUGGCGGACGGGUGAGGAAUACAUCGGAAUCUACUUUUUCGUGGGGGAUAACGUAGGGAAACUUACGCUAAUACCGCAUACGACCUACGGGUGAAAGCAGGGGAUCUUCGGACCUUGCGCGAUUGAAUGAGCCGAUGUCGGAUUAGCUAGUUGGCGGGGUAAAGGCCCACCAAGGCGACGAUCCGUAGCUGGUCUGAGAGGAUGAUCAGCCACACUGGAACUGAGACACGGUCCAGCCUCCUCCGGGAGGCAGCAGUGGGGAAUAUUGGACAAUGGGCGCAAGCCUGAUCCAGCCAUACCGCGUGGGUGAAGAAGGCCUUCGGGUUGUAAAGCCCUUUUGUUGGGAAAGAAAAGCAGCAGGUUAAUACCCCGCUGUUCUGACGGUACCCAAAGAAUAAGCACCGGCUAACUUCGUG
rnacentral:rRNA from 1 species